rnacentral:misc_RNA from 1 species
GGGGACAUGGGCCCACACACCGGAUGUAGAGUCGAAAGCCUCGGCCCAGGAGUCCGAUUCCCGAGGGCAGCCACCAACGACACAUAUCCGGCCGCCGAGCGUGCUCGCAGUGGCGGCAAUAUUGCGGGUAGUGCCCAUCUGGGGGCCGAGCAACCAGCUGUUGGUGUGGGGGUUGAAGAUCUGGACGGCGGAGGUUGAGAUGCCACUUUUGGAGCCGCCUAGUACGAAGAGGGAAUGGCCGAGUACGGCGCUGGCAGAGACGCGUG